UUGCAACAUCUUCAAGAUUCAGAAAUCAUUUUCUUUUAUGGGUUCUCCUUUGGAGCCUAUAUUAUUUGGUUUGAGAAUCUUGAUGAUGCUGCAG
rnacentral:pre_miRNA from 1 species